rnacentral:misc_RNA from 1 species
AAGACUAUAGACCUGCGGAGUACCUGCGGAAGGAUCAUUAGUGAACGCCCUCACGGGCUUAUAACUAUUCCAAACCUCUGUGAACCGUGCCCUUCGGGGCUAUUUUACAAACAUGGUGUAAUGAACGUCAUAUAUCAUAACAAAACAAAACUUUCAACAAUGGAUCUCU